UGGGGAAUAUUGCACAAUGGGCGCAAGCCUGAUGCAGCCAUGCCGCGUGUAUGAAGAAGGCCUUCGGGUUGUAAAGUACUUUCAGCGGGGAGGAAGGGAGUAAAGUUAAUACCUUUGCUCAUUGACGUUAUCCGCAGAAGAAGCACCGGCUAACUCCGUGCCAGCAGCCGCGGUAAUACGGAGGGUGCAAGCGUUAAUCGGAAUUACUGGGCGUAAAGCGCACGCAGGCGGUUUGUUAAGUCAGAUGUGAAAUCCCCGGGCUCAACCUGGGAACUGCAUCUGAUACUGGCAAGCUUGAGUCUCGUAGAGGGGGGUAGAAUUCCAGGUGUAGCGGUGAAAUGCGUAGAGAUCUGGAGGAAUACCGGUGGCGAAGGCGGCCCCCUGGACGAAGACUGACGCUCAGGUGCGAAAGCGUGGGGAGCAAACA
rnacentral:rRNA from 1 species